ACGCGGUUGUUUGAUGCAUCAGGUUCGUUUAAAUAUGGAACAACUCGUUUAAAUACGGGACUGAAAGACUCCGCUCGAUUUGGGACCCUAAAAAAGACCGAACUGAGAUACGAAGCAGAGAGGUUGAGACCACGGCGGAGGUCCUCUGUCUCGAACAAAGAGCGACAGAGCCACCCUGUGGGAGAAGCCUCAAGUGCUCAUGGAACACUAUUCGGACAUAAAACCCCUAAAAACAACGAGCCAACACAAACCCAAAGACUAAGAAUGACCACUCUGGGUCGGCAGGACCAUAGGGAACCUCACACCAAUCAGAGCUGGAUUCCACCUCGUCACCAUAACUUAAACAGCAGUCGACCAGACAGACACCCCUAGACAACGAGCGCCAAAAGGUGUCUUCCCCAGAUCUAUCCCAGGGACUCUCAUGAGGAGGAAGCCCCAGCUCUGCCCUGUGGCAAAGCUGAACACCUCCUUCUCUGCGUCGUCCAGCAGGAGCAGCGGUGGUGUGCUCAACCCUUUGAGCCCCCACCUAGAGCUGAUCUUAAUAAAGGCAUUAUAAAGGAGCUGGUCUCCUUGCUCAUUCUUCUCAACUGGGAACUUGUCCCGGGUUGUCCCGGGAUAACCCAUGUCCCGGAGGCGGUUGCCCAUCUUCAGACCUCCAGGGACAGCUGGCUACACCGGACCCCAGACUAAGACCAGCGACGCAGAGGAGCACCAGGAUUGGUGAGAGACUGGUGGCGGGAGUUGGAGGCGAAUGAGUGAGGUGUGAGUGAGAUGGGGGCCAGCAGCGUGAGUGAGACCCCCCCAAGUACCACAGUUCCAGACUCCUUCGAGGGGGCUGGCCUGUGGUUUGGGCUGCGGUUCUCACACAUUCGGGGUCACCACUUGUCGCUAGCUGAGGCUGGGUGUGUCCCACUUUAGGGACAGAAAGAGAGCAGGCAGACACAGCAGCAGUGAGGGGAUCAAACUCUCUACUUUAUUUACAAUUUUCUACUUUUAUACAUUUGUACAGAGGUCCAGAGAUUGGCUAGAGAGGUCACCACCUCUCAACCUGUAUGGUGGACAUGACCAUCAAUCAAUUCUUUUCUCAGAGGAGAAGAAUGCAAACAUUCCAAGAAUAAACUUUGUUUACAUGAAGAAGGCUAUGUGUGGAAGUUCUGCACAGAGACAGAAAGGCAGAAAACAGCAACACUGGCCGGGAACGGGGGGGGGAAGCGAAAGGAGCAAAGUGUGAAUGAGGCACCUCCUGGGGGCAUAAAGGUUCCCCUGCUCUGGGCGUGCGGAGGGUUCCUUAGUGUGUGAGUGGC
rnacentral:lncRNA from 1 species